rnacentral:rRNA from 1 species
UACCGAACCGUCNACAGGUGUUGUUGCUGGCUCUCUAACAUGAGCAUGGUGCACACUCUGUCUACACAUCCACUCACACCUGUGCACCCUUCUGUAGUUCUGCGGCCUGGGGGGCCUGCCCUCCUUCCGUAGCUCUACGUCUUUACACACUCACUGUAACAAAGUCUUAUGGAAUGUUUUCUGCGUUCGACGCAAUAAAAUACAACUUUCAGCAACGGAUCUCUUGGCUCUCGCAUCGAUGAAGAACGCAGCGAAAUGCGAUAAGUAAUGUGAAUUGCAGAAUUCAGUGAAUCAUCGAAUCUUUGAACGCACCUUGCGCCCCUCGGCCAUUCCUUGGGGCAUGCCUGUUUGAGUAUCAUGAACACCUCAACCCUCACGGUUCGCCGUGAUGGGCUUGGACUCUGGGGGUUUGCUGGCUCGUGUGGUCGGCUCCCCUCAAAUGAAUCAGCUUUCCAGCGUUCUGGUGGCAUCACGGGUGUGAUAACUAUCUACGCUCGCGCUUGUCCGCUGGGUAACCUUUGGUGACNAAGGUUCGUUGGGGCUUACAAACGUCUCUCCUCAGCGAAGACAGCCUUUGAAAGUUCGAUCUCAAAUCAGGUAGGACUACCCGCUGAACUUAAGCAUAUCAAUAAGCGGAGGAAAAGAAACUAACAAGGAUUCCCCUAGU